rnacentral:rRNA from 1 species
UACGUAGGGUGCAAGCGUUGUCCGGAAUUAUUGGGCGUAAAGAGCUCGUAGGCGGUCUGUCGCGUCUGCUGUGAAAAUCCAGGGCUCAACCCUGGACCUGCAGUGGGUACGGGCAGACUAGAGUGCGGUAGGGGAGAUCGGAAUUCCUGGUGUAGCGGUGAAAUGCGCAGAUAUCGGGAGGAACACCAAUGGCGAAGGCAGCAUGCGCUGGGACGUGACUGACGCUGAGACGCGAAAGCGUGGGGAGCAAACAGGAUUGAGAA